CACGAGUGCGGACGGGUGAGUAACACGUAGGUAACCUGCCCAGAAGCGGGGGACAACAUUUGGAAACAGAUGCUAAUACCGCAUAACAACGUUGUUCGCAUGAACAACGCUUAAAAGAUGGCUUCUCGCUAUCACUUCUGGAUGGACUGCGGUGCAUUAGCUUGUUGGUGGGGUAAUGGCCUACCAAGGGCGAUGAUGCAUAGCCGAGUUGAGAGACUGAUCGGCCACAAUGGGACUGAGACACGGCCCAUACUCCUACGGGAGGCAGCAGUAGGGAAUCUUCCACAAUGGGCGCAAGCCUGAUGGAGCAACACCGCGUGAGUGAAGAAGGGUUUCGGCUCGUAAAGCUCUGUUGUUAAAGAAGAACACGUAUGAGAGUAACUGUUCAUACGUUGACGGUAUUUAACCAGAAAGUCACGGCUAACUACGUGCCAGCAGCCGCGGUAAUACGUAGGUGGCAAGCGUUAUCCGGAUUUAUUGGGCGUAAAGAGAGUGCAGGCGGUUUUCUAAGUCUGAUGUGAAAGCCUUCGGCUUAACCGGAGAAGUGCAUCGGAAACUGGAUAACUUGAGUGCAGAAGAGGGUAGUGGAACUCCAUGUGUAGCGGUGGAAUGCGUAGAUAUAUGGAAGAACACCAGUGGCGAAGGCGGCUACCUGGUCUGCAACUGACGCUGAGACUCGAAAGCAUGGGUAGCGAACAGGAUUAGAUACCCUGGUAGUCCAUGCCGUAAACGAUGAGUGCUAGGUGUUGGAGGGUUUCCGCCCUUCAGUGCCGGAGCUAACGCAUUAAGCACUCCGCCUGGGGAGUACGACCGCAAGGUUGAAACUCAAAGGAAUUGACGGGGGCCCGCACAAGCGGUGGAGCAUGUGGUUUAAUUCGAAGCUACGCGAAGAACCUUACCAGGUCUUGACAUCUUGCGCCAACCCUAGAGAUAGGGCGUUUCCUUCGGGAACGCAAUGACAGGUGGUGCAUGGUCGUCGU
rnacentral:rRNA from 2 species